UGGAGAGAGACUGAGAAAGAAUAAUAAUAAUAAUAAUAAUAAUAAUAAUAAUAAUAAUAAUGAUGAACUUUAUUUAUAAAGUGCCUUUAAAAACAGCUUCUCAAAGCGCUGGGAAAAAAGCGGUGUGAUGUCCAACACCUCCACCUGUAACCCUGAUGUGUGGAGUUAAUCGUCUCUCAGUGUCUCAUGGGUACAGUACAGCCGUGUGGGGUUACUGAAGAACAACAGAUACAUCUGAGAGAGAAAAGAACGAGAAACAUGGUUUCUCGCUGGGUUUAGAGUUACGGCGGGUGAAGAGUUACGGCGGGUGAAGAGUUACGGCGGGUGAAGAAUUACGGGAUGUAGAGUUACGUGUAGAAUUAUGUGGUGUAGAGUUACGGGGUGUAGAGUUACGGGUGUAGAUUUACGGGGUGUAGAGUUACGGGGUGUAGAGUUACAGGUGUAGAGUUACAGGUGUAGAGUUACGGGUGUAGAGCGCGCUGCUUGCAGAUAGAAAUAGGAAGGAAAGAAAAAAACAUGGAAAGAAUGAAAAAGUUAAAUAGGAAAAAAGAGAGAAAGAAAUUAAGGAUAAUAUUAAAGAGAGUUUGGUCUCUGCUGUGUGUCUGUGUGUGUGUGUGUGUGUGUGUGUGUCUGUGUGUGUGUGUGUGUGUGUGUGUGUGUGUGUGUGUGUUCUGAGUCAGUGUCCAUGCUGUUCUAAUCAUCUGUUAUUGUCCCAGAUCCAGAAUAAGACUAAAA
ensembl:lncRNA